UACGUAGGGGGGCAAGCGUUUGUCCGGAAUCAUUGGGCGUAAAGAGCGCGUAGGCGGUCCGGUAAGUCCGCUCUGAAAGUCCGGGGGCUCAACCCCCGGAAGGCGGGCGGAUACUGUCGGGCUAGAGUCCGGAAGAGGCGAGUGGAAUUCCUGGUGUAGCGGUGAAAUGCGCAGAUAUCGGGAGGAACACCAAUGGCGAAGGCAGCUCGCUGGGACGUUACGUGACGC
rnacentral:rRNA from 1 species